rnacentral:rRNA from 1 species
GACGAACGCUGGCGGCGCGCCUAACACAUGCAAGUCGAACGAGCGAGAGAGAGCUUACUUUCUCGAGCGAGUGGCGAACGGGUGAGUAACGCGUGAGGAACCUGCCUCAAAGAGGGGGACAACAGUUGGAAACGACUGCUAAUACCGCAUAAGCCCACGGCUCGGCAUCGAGCAGAGGGAAAAGGAGCAAUCCGCUUUGAGAUGGCCUCGCGUCCGAUUAGCUAGUUGGUGAGGUAACGGCCCACCAAGGCGACGAUCGGUAGCCGGACUGAGAGGUUGAACGGCCACAUUGGGACUGAGACACGGCCCAGACUCCUACGGGAGGCAGCAGUGGGGAAUAUUGCACAAUGGGGGAAACCCUGAUGCAGCGACGCCGCGUGGAGGAAGAAGGUCUUCGGAUUGUAAACUCCUGUUGUUGAGGAAGAUAAUGACGGUACUCAACAAGGAAGUGACGGCUAACUACGUGCCAGCAGCCGCGGUAAAACGUAGGUCACAAGCGUUGUCCGGAAUUACUGGGUGUAAAGGGAGCGCAGGCGGGAAGACAAGUUGGAAGUGAAAUCCAUGGGCUCAACCCAUGAACUGCUUUCAAAACUGUUUUUCUUGAGUAGUGCAGAGGUAGGCG